CUUCUGUUUCUACAGGUUACAAACUCAAUGAUUCCACCGGAGAAUAUUGGUCGACAACUAGUGCCAGUCUCCCAGGUCCCCAACACGUCAUUACAACCCCUGCCACGUCAUCAUGACUUCCGGUCUGCGAGCGGUCGACCCAGUCCCUUCCAUUAGUACCACGUUCUCACACAUUCACAGUUUACCAUAGGAGUCCUUCCAUAUCCCUCGGUUCUAAGUAUUCCUGUUUCUUGGUUGGCGGUUGCUUAUGUUUGCAAUGUUAGUUCGCGUGUAUCUUCCCGCGUGUUUUUUCCCACGCGUGUAAUCGUGUAAAGUAUGUCACGUGUCAACUCGAGCAUAGCCAAUAGAAUAAAGAAGUUUAGGAAAGACAAUACUCGAUGAAAUGUUGGUUUACAUUAUGCAAAAAUUAGCCAAUUCAUCGUGUGUUGUGUUCUCGUCCGACCGACCAAUAGUAUUGUUUUAAGGCUGGUUCACAUCAAAGUUUCGGUGACCACAGUAGCAAGGCUGCAAAUAAAUAUU
rnacentral:lncRNA from 1 species